rnacentral:rRNA from 1 species
GACAAAGGUCCCAAGAGUUACACGGAUUUACUGGGCGUAAAGGGCGUGUAGUCGGCGUGGGGCGUCCCAUGUGAAAGGCCACGGCUCAACCGUGGAGGAGCGUGGGAUACGCUCAGGCUAGACGGUGGGAGAGGGUGGUGGAAUUCCCGGAGUAGCGGUGAAAUGCGCAGAUACAGGGAGGAACGCCGAUGGCGAAGGCAGCCACCUGGCUCACUUGUGACGCUGAGGCGCGAAAGCGUGGGGAGCAAACCGG